GGAACGGUCGCAAAUAAUUCUGUGUUCACCGUGGCCGCGAGCCUAAGGGCGCGCAGAGCCGCAAUUUAAAAUCCACCGGCAAUCACACCGUUGCUAUUUCCACACCGAGGCUCGUGCUCCAUCGACCAGUCUUUCAGCUUCCAUCGAGAGGUAAUCGUGGCCCUUCAACGAUCUGCCUAUUCUCGAUUCCAUCCGAGUACUCCGGCAAUCUCAUCGCAAUAGAGCGUCCAAUCAAUCCACCUAUAAACUUUCAUUUCCAAAAUCGACGUCCCGCACCAGGAAUAAAUACCAAAAAAAAAGAAAAAAAAGGAAAAAAAAGAAAGAGAGAAGAUCAGAUUAAGGAAUGUAUCAAGACACUCCGAUUAUUCAGCACUCUCGAGAAGUCGUGACAGAUCAAUGCUGAACAACGCUUGGAGCGCUUUCGAGGCAGCUUUGUUACGGCUUUCGAGCGACUUGGAGCCACUCGGUAAAUCCGGCAGCUUUUGAUAUACGGCCGAGUCCUCGAGAUUUUUUCGGAUCCCCGUUGGAAGGGGCUGGCGUAACGCCCAAGGCGCUUCCGGGUAAUGUGCAAAGGCAUUUGAUGACUUCCAGUCAACCACAUCAGCAGGUGUGUAAGGUGGAAGAUGUGUAAAAGUCUCGUAAAACUCGUAUCACAAGCUUUCUUCGUAAUUCUUCCUACGAAGCUACAGUGGCUACAAAAAGACGCUAUAUGUUUAAAUAUACGGUUGCUGACGAAACUAUUUCAACGCUCGCAGGAAUAUUUUAUGGAUGCAUUGCAUUAGCGUUGUAACGAAACUCGAUUGUCAUAGUUAUGUUUGGUAAAUAAUAUUAUGAUAGCUACAUUAUAUAGUGCAAUAGUACUAUUGGUAAAGUAUGGAACAAAAGUGAAAAUAUUUAGCGUAAGGUAGAGUGGCUACAAAAUUUAUUAGCACGCUACUAUAUUUAUUCUAACAUUUACGUCAACUAAUUAAGUUCGAGUAUAUCAAACUUCGUAUCAUUUAAUAGUAUCCUCGUACGAUCACAAAAAUAUGAAACUACGAAAAUGAAGUGUAGAAUUUGAUAGAAAAAAAAAAAAAGAAAAAUGCUUCAGUGGAAAAUAAGGACACGUGGCAAUACUUUUUUUAGCCACUGUAUAUUUCGCUGAGAUCACGAAGCUAUUUAAACAACCAAUUAUUCAUCAUAUUAAUAAGCUGUACGUUAUACCAUAGCAUGGAAGAAACUUUCGUGAGCCACUGUACACGUUAUACGAUGGAACAAACGGCCGACAAACGUGUGGAAAUAAAAAGCCAUGCAAGAAAGCUUAAUUAAAAUUCAAAAAACGAGCAGGGGCAGACUUCAAGGAAUCUUUGAUGAAAGAAAUAUUGGUUCUGCUUGCACGGAAUAUUUAU
rnacentral:misc_RNA from 1 species